rnacentral:rRNA from 1 species
AAAGACUUGACGGUACUUCACACCAACCUAGAGGAGCCUGUCUAAUAACCGAUACUCCACGAUUAACCCAACCCGCCCUAGCCCCCAACAGUCUAUAUACCGCCGUCGCCAGCUUACCUUGUGAAAGAAAUAAAGUGAGCAAAACAGGGCACCCCUAACACGACAGGUCGAGGUGUAACUUAUGGGCGGGUAAAAGAUGGGCUACACUUUCUAACCCAGAAAAUACGAAUAGACUAUGAAACUAGAAACUGAAGGCGGAUUUAGCAGUACGAUAAGAACAAAAUACUUA